UACGUAGGGUGCGAGCGUUAAUCGGAAUAACUGGGCGUAAAGGGUGCGCAGGCGGUUGCUUAAGUCAGCUGUGAAAUCCCCGGGCUUAACCUGGGCAUGGCAGUUGAGACUGGACAGCUGGAGUGUGUCAGAGGGGGGUAGAAUUCCACGUGUAGCAGUGAAAUGCGUAGAGAUCCGGAGGAACACCCGUGGCGAAGGCGGCCCCCUGGGCCGCGCCUGACGCUGAGACGCGAAAGCGCGGGGAGCGAACGGG
rnacentral:rRNA from 1 species